GCGGCAGUAGCUCAGGGGUAGAGCAUUUGCUUCCCAAGCAAAAGGCCGAGGGUUCGAAUCCCUUCUGCCGCU
rnacentral:tRNA from 1 species